rnacentral:tRNA from 1 species
GGGAUGGGGCUCAGUGGCAGAGUGCUUGCCUUGCAUGUGUGAGGCACUGGGUUUGAUCCUCAGUACCUCA